CGCCGGGCCUCUCGGCCAAUGGAGGCGGGCGUCGGGGGCGGGACCUACGUGGGGCCCGGCGCGCGUGCGCGGCUUGCGGCUGCGAUGGGUGAGCUUCCUGAGGGGGCGGCGCGGAGCGUGAGGGUGUUUAGGCCUGGACCCGAGCCCGCUGGAUGCUGCAGCCGUGGAGACGCAAGCCAAGGUGUGGACGGGACCAGAUUCCGAGGCGCGCAGGCGCUCUCGAUCCCUGACGGCGGCCAAGGUUACACUCGGCGCUCCUGCGGGAGCGGUGCGGAGGGCUGCGGAGGUCCGGGCCCUUCUGGCGGGGCUUCUCGGCCGGCCGGAGCAGAGCCGAGACCUCCUGCGGCUUUCCGUAGUGCGUGCUCCUGGCCCGGUGUCCCGUGGAGGAAGCUGUGGACAGCCCUGAGACCUCGGAGGGCAAGGCUGAGUGCCAGGACUGUGGGAGACUGGGUUGAAGCUGGUCCUGGGGUCGGGGGCGAGACAGCAACCCCUGCACGCGCAGGAUCCAUCACGUCCCGGCUCCCGCAGUCUUCUGCAGAGGACCGCAGCUUCCUUGCUUCCUUCCUGCCUCCUUCCCUUUCCCUCCCUCCCUUAUCAUUUUGGUCACGCAGUCACGUAUAUACAUACAGUAAUAAUGUCUGUUGCAUUCUGUUGUCCUUCCUAUCCCCCACAUCCCCUGCCCUGACCUCCCUUCACUUCCCUCUACCUAAUCUAAGGUAACCCUAGUCUUCUCUAGUGUCUCCCCACCACCACCACCACCACCCGAGUUAGCAUCUGCGUAUUAGAGGAAACAUUCGCCUUUGGCUUUGGGGAUAUUUGCAGCUUUCUUAUUUUCAUUUGUUUAAAAUGGAAACUUACAAGUAAGGCGAAAAUAUUCCACCUAGGGUCAUCUCAAUAUUUUAGUGAUGUUGUUUAGUAAGUUUUUUUUUUUUUUUUUUUAGAGUGUAUGUUGUGGUACCAAGUACUAUUUUCAUACAUUAUCAUUCGGUCAUAAUAAAUUGAAAGAAAUGUGUAUUACAUUCUUAGAAGGAAGAUGGUGCCCAGAGAGAUUAACUUCCCAAGUUCACAUAUUUGGUUACUGGUGAAGCUGAAAUUGAAACUGAUGGUGGAUGACCUCAAAUUCUAUCAUUUAUGUUGCAAUUGGUGCUGUUGAGCCUGGGGUGAAAAAAGGAGUGAGAACCAUGAGGUGUCUGAAACUAGGUAGAAAAAAGCCUGGGUUGUGAAAGUUGAAACAUUUAUAAUAAUUCUAUUCAGACAAUUGAAAAUAAUGUUGCCUUUUUACUUUUAAAGAUAAUUUAGUAAGUUUUUCUGCAAGGGUAUCAUCAGUGUUUUAUUUUGAGGGAAGGUAAAAAUGUAUGCAAUUCCUGAGUGAAGAAACUCAGGAAUUAUUAUUUAAAAUGCCCAAAGCCAUGGGUUUUCUAACCCCAAAAUAUCCACAUGAUGUGUAUUAUGAAUUCUCAGUUUUUAUGAGAAAAGGAUGUGAAAUCAAAACACACACUUAUGGGUGCACUAGAUGGAUUCUAUUAUGAUUUUAAUUCUGUACUUUUAAGGACAACAUUAACAGAAUUUCUUGCCUUUUAUAAUACCACCAACAUAAAAGAAAUACAUUUGUAUUUCGUUUGUAUGAAAAUUCAAAGGCAAUAAUUCGGUUUUAAAAAUCUAUAAUCUAGAAGCAAGGGAUUCCUUUGUUGAAGAAAACUGGACUGAUCAAACCAUUUAAUUUUAUUAGGAUUUUUAAGCUUUGAAACUGACAUGAAUAUGAAAUAAACAGUGCCAAUAUUCAUGGUAUAGUGAAAAAUAGUUAAUAUUUGGUUUUAUUUAUCCUAUUAGCAGUUUUUAAAUGCAUACUACUAGUUUUUAAUUUUUACUGAAUUUUCCCCAAAAUUGUUUAAUUCUUCAAUGGUCAUUUAAGAUGAAAAUAGGGAUUAAAAGUAGUUGUUUUUGCAUGAAAAGUGUGUGAUUUACAAGUUUAAAUUAUCCCCCCCCCUUUUUUUAAACAGAUGGAAUUAAGUUUGUCUUCCAUAAAUCUCAAUUUUCAGCUUCUUGACUAUGUUAACUGUAAUUGUCAGUGUUGCACUGAUCAAUCAGCAUGUGGAAACACAUUGUUCUACCCUGUCAAUUAAACAUUUCUUUGAAAGUGAACUA